UACGUAGGGUGCGAGCGUUAAUCGGAAUUACUGGGCGUAAAGCGUGCGCAGGCGGCUUUGCAAGACAGAUGUGAAAUCCCCGGGCUCAACCUGGGAACUGCAUUUGUGACUGCAAGGCUAGAGUACGGCAGAGGGGGAUGGAAUUCCGCGUGUAGCAGUGAAAUGCGUAGAUAUGCGGAGGAACACCAAUAGCGAAGGCAAUCCCCUGGGCCUGUACUGACGCUCAUGCACGAAAGCGUGGGGAGCAAACAGG
rnacentral:rRNA from 1 species